UACCCGCCGCACAAGUGGUGGUCGUUAUUAUUGGGCCUAAAGCGUCCGUAGCUGGCGUGUUAGAUGCCUGGGUAAAUCGAUGCGCUCAACGUAUCGAAUUCCGGGUAGACCGGCACGCUCGAGACCGGGAGAGGUAUGGGGUACUCGGGGGGUAGGGGUAAAAUCCUGUAAUCCUCCGGGGACGACCAGUGGCGAAGGCGCCAUACUAGAACGGCUCUGACAGUGAGGGACGAAGCCCUGGGGCGCAAACCGG
rnacentral:rRNA from 1 species